rnacentral:sRNA from 2 species
CAAAAAGCGAUGACAUUUUCUGAUAUUACGCUAGGCUUAGAGUGGUUUAGUGACCUCUAUAUCUCCAGGCAAAAAUCAUUUUGAGAGAAGAAAUGGCACUUUUAUUCUCUAACACCGUCGAUACAACUGCAAAUGAACUAGUCAGCAGAACUUAAUAACAUAGCUAUUCCAAGCUGGCUAUCACAUCUGCCGGCACAUUUUUAUGUAUUUUCCAUUGGCUGUCAUUGUUGAAUAUACUAUGAACCAAAUGACCAGAUGAGCUUGUUAUCAAUUUGGAUCCCUAUCCCCAAGGUGCGAAAAUCACUAGCUUUUCUCCUAACAUACGCCUCGGUGGAUUCCUUUCCAGUGAUGCGUUUUGUUUCCUCCCUUUGAACCCUUUUCUUUCCCUACGUGACUAUGUCUCGAGAGCAUACGCUGUCUCGCGAUUGAGGUUGGGCCUGUUUGAAGCGCUGCCACAUCAACCGGCUCUGAGGCCAUGAGCCUCUCGGUAACAGCCACGAUGUCUGCUACAAGUCUGUCGAUGAGAUCGGCAGACAUACUUUCACGUACAACUAUCCGCAGGGUUUCAGUCUUAUCCUCCACCGGUGGAAGUGGGUAAUCUAUGUUGUGGUCACCGUUGUUAGCUUUGCGCUCCCCAAUAUACCUUGCAGUUCAUAAUUCACAAGGACACGUGAACGAGGCAGUAUCAGUGACAUACUUGGGAUGAUAUACUGCUUCGCACGAAGCAAUAAACUGACGCUCUCCUGCUUCACAUCCGGGUACUUUUGCUGAACCUCAUCAGAAAACCUAAAAGACACUACGGGCAAACCUGCAUUAUAGUCCGCCGAUGUUUCGCCUUCCUGAUAUUUCAGCAACCCGUUGGUCUGCUCAACCUUUGAGCUACCUUUUUUCCGAUGGAUGCCGCUGAUGCAUAGGAACCAGCCCGUGUUCUCGAGCGCAGUGCUUAACAAUCGAGCAUUUGCUAGGCAAUUCUCCAUGAUUUCUCGGUACCCGUUGAAGCCAAGGCGUAUAAAAUUGUAAUACUGUCCUACCACCUGCAUUCCAGGCCGGGAGAAAUUCAGGGUAAACGUCUCUUCUGUCCCACCAAGAUAAUGGAGCUCAAAAAUAAGGUCGCUUGGAGAUACGCCCUAUCCCGCCAUACGAUCCAACCAAGGCCCGCGUAUACCAAGCCGAAUUUAUGACCAGAUGUAUUAAUGGAUUUCACACGAGGAAGUGCAAAGUCCCUAUAAGUUUAUUAGCUGACGGUUUUUGUGCUGGCUGCCAGAGAUAAUCACCAUUUAGGACCUCCAGCCUGAGCGUAAGUGAAUGGCGCAACAAAGCCCCCACUUGCACCAUCGACGUGAAUAGGCACAUCUAUACCAGUCUUCGCUUCGAAUUCAUCCAAAAUGCUUGAGAUCUCUUCCACUGGUUCGUAGUGGCCGGUGUAUGUACUGCCCAUAAUAACGAAGACACCGAUUGUAUUCUCGUCUAAAUUCUUCUUGACAAGGUCUGGAUCAAGCCGAUACUCGCUUUUCUGAGAGACGUCUAAAAUCCGGGCCUCAACGUCGAAGUACCUAGCGAACUUAAGCAGUGCAACCUGUGCGUUCGCGCCCAUGAUGAUGUUUGGCUUCGAGGUGUCUUUUCCCGUCGCUUUCCUUUUCUCCUGCCAGCGUUUUUUCAUUGCCAACCCACCAAGGAGGAUAGCUUCCGAAGAUCCAGUCGUUGCAGAUCCAAUCGCGUGCUCUCCUGGUUGCGCGUGCCAGAGAUUAGAUAUCAUUGAGACGCAAUGAGCAUGCAUCUCCAUCAAGGCCGGGUAUUCAUCGGCAUCAGCCAAAUUUUUACUGAUAUUCUCGAACAGAAGCUCGUCAGCUUCACGUUCCAUGUAAGUGCCGACGAAACUACGAACAUUUAACAUCUUUGUUAGUAUCAUAUUUGCCGAAUCACCGAGAAAUUUGUCUCAGACGGAUCGCAGAGGUGGUCUUGGUCAAUGUACAGUAUAUCACCGACCUAGCCAGGUUCAAAUUUGGAAUCCCAUCCAGAUCCAGAUCAUCCCUCAACAUCCUACGCACUGCCUCCGCCGGCGCACCCUUCUCGGGCAACUUGAAUUUAGGAAUUUCUUCAUGACUAGCAUAUCGUGUGGAGUACGGGGUCAUCGACCCGGAGACAUUCUCAGUCCAUAUGCGUUCACUUUUUCUACGCUUGGGGUCCUUGCGUAGAUCCUCGAUCAGUUGGUUGACGUCAACCUAUGCUCCUCAUUGAAAGCCGGUAGAUGUGAGCAGAAGUCAUUUGAAAAAUGUUCCAAAAACAAUGUCAAUAAAAUGGGGCAAAGCAGUUUGCGUGAAGAGGCAAUCCUCUCGACUUGGUCAUUUUGGUCUAGUUUUCACUCCGCGA